rnacentral:tRNA from 1 species
GGGCCCGUAGCUCAGCCUGGUGGAGCGGCGGGCUCUUAACCCGUAGGUCCCGGGUUCAAAUCCCGGCGGGCCCG